GACGAACGCUGGCGGCGUGCUUAACACAUGCAAGUCGAACGGAAAGACCCUGCUUUUGUGGGGUGCUCGAUUGGCGAACGGGUGAGUAACACGUGAGUAACCUGCCCUUGACUGUGUGAUAACUUCAGGAAACUGGGGCUAAUACCCGGUAGGAUCUCCUGCUGCGUAUGGUUGGUUGGAGAGAGUCGGCUGUGGGGGAUGGACUCGCGGCUUAUCAGCUUGUUGGUGGGGUAGUGGCUUACGAAGGCUUUGAGGGGUAGGCGGCCUGAGAGGGUGACCGGCCACAUUGGGACUGAGAGACGGAGCAGACUCCUACGGGAGGCAGCAGGGGGGAAUAUUGCAGAAUGGGGGGAAGCCUGAUGCAGAAACGUCGCGUGCGGGAUGACGGGUUUUGGGUUGUAAACCGAUUUCGCAGGUGACGAAGAGUGAGUGACGGUAACGGGUAAAGAAGCAACGGCUAACUACGUG
rnacentral:rRNA from 1 species